rnacentral:rRNA from 1 species
UUUCCGGUUGAUCCUGCCGCCGGCCACCACUAUCAAGUUCCGACUAAGCCAUGCGAGUCAAGGUAUCGUAAGAUGCCGGCAAACUGCUCAGUAACACGUGGAUAAUCUAACCUUGAGUAAGGGAUAACCUCGGGAAACUGAGGAUAAUACCUUAUAAUUGCUUAAAACUGGAAUGUUUAAGCAAUAAAAGUUCCGACGCUCAAGGAUGAGUCUGCGACCUAUCAGGUAGUAGGUGGUGUAAUGGACCACCUAGCCUCAGACGGGUACGGGCCCUGGGAGGGGUAGCCCGGAGAUGGACUCUGAGACAUCAGUCCAGGCCCUACGGGGCGCAGCAGGCGCGAACACUGUGCAAUGCGCGAAAGCGCGACACGGGGAGCUUGAGUGUCUUGGCAUAGCCAAGACUUUUCUCAUUCCUAAAAAGCAUGGGGAAUAAGUGCUGGGUAAGACGGGUGCCAGCCGCCGCGGUAACACCCGCAGCACAAGUGGUGGUCACUUUUAUUGAGCCUAAAGCGUUCGUAGCCGGUUUUGUAAAUCUUUAGAUAAAGCCUGAAGCUUAACUCCAGAAAGUCUGAAGAGACUGCAAGACUUGAGAUCGGGUGAGGUUAAACGUACUUUCAGGGUAGGGGUAAAAUCCUGUAAUCCCGGAAGGACGACCAGUGGCGAAAGCGUUUAACUAGAACGAAUCUGACGGUAAGGAACGAAGGCUAGGGUAGCAAACCGGAUUAGAUACCCGGGUAGUCCUAGCUGUAAACACUGCCCAUUUGAUGUUGCUUUUCCGUUGAGGGAAGGCAGUGUCGGAGCGAAGGUGUUAAAUGGGCCGCUUGGGAAGUAUGGUCGCAAGACUGAAACUUAAAGGAAUUGGCGGGGGAGCACCGCAACGGGAGGAAUGUGCGGUUUAAUUGGAUUCAACGCCGGA